rnacentral:lncRNA from 1 species
ACAAGUGGUAAGAAGCAAAUUCCCUGCUACCCCGCAGCAUGUGAAGGUAUCUUCCUCAGAGUUAAUGUCCAGGGCAAGAGUGAUUAAAAUGGUACGAAAUCAUUCGUGAUGCAGGCUAAUAGCAAAUUAAACCUUCUCUAUCAGGCCUAGCAAGCAACUAACCUUGUUUUUCAAGCCUGCCGGCAUUUAACACCCUAUAAAACUGUGUUAUUCUGGUCCAUAUAGGAUUUCCAUUUGUUGAGUGCAAGCAGUUGACUAGCAUGUCUCUGCACCUUCCUGAACAGCUACUACAUCUCUGGGAAUGCUUUGUGGGCCUGCCAGCUUCAGGAAAAUUCAGCAGCUGGAAGGGAAAAAUAUGAGACAUAUCUCACCCCUGAUAUUUAAACCCCUGGGUAUAUCUGAAAAAGGUCGUGACUCUGUUCACCAACAACACAUCUCCCAUUCAUUUGGAAGAGACUAAGCUUCAGUCCAUUAUCCUUCACCCAAUAACUCCUUAUUUUCCCUGAUAUUUCUCAUAGCACUGGCCAAAGAACAGGCAGUAAAAGAUUAAAGUUAGAAGCAAAAGCUAAAAGUUUCCUUUUCAAUUGGUGAACAGAGCUUCUUUCUUAAAGAUGUGUGUGUGUGUGUGUGUGUGUGUGUGUAUGUGUUUUCACAGAACACGUUGUAUUUUACCAUUUUGCUGAAGCCUGUGAUUCAGCAAUUCCAGCAUGUCAUAAAAAAGAAAUUGUGCUUUAAAAAAAAAAAUUAAAAAGAGUUCCAAAUUACAGACUCCUUCCUAGAUUUAGCAGAUUGAUUAGUUCAGUUAUGCUGUAUCUUACACUGAUUAAUGAAAAUCCAGCUCUUGCCUGGAGAGGUAGUAACCCCACCUGAUACCUGUCAGAUACUCCAUGUAAAAUUUCAGACAUGCUUUUCUUGCAUGGUCAUUGUCAUCCCAACCUAAUUUGGGUUCAAUGGAGUUUUGUUCUUGGACCAAAAUUCCACAAUCAUUUUUUUUGUUCUU